rnacentral:rRNA from 1 species
AGAUUGAACGCUGGCGGCAUGCUUUACACAUGCAAGUCGAACGGUAACAGGCCGCAAGGUGCUGACGAGUGGCGAACGGGUGAGUAAUGCAUCGGAACGUGCCCAGUCGUGGGGGGAUAACGCAGCGAAAGCUGUGCUAAUACCGCAUACGAUCUAUGGAUGAAAGCGGGGGACCGAAAGGCCUCGCGCGAUUGGAGCGGCCGAUGUCAGAUUAGCUAGUUGGUGGGGUAAAGGCCCACCAAGGCGACGAUCUGUAGCUGGUCUGAGAGGACGACCAGCCACACUGGAACUGAGACACGGUCCAGACUCCUACGGGAGGCAGCAGUGGGGAAUUUUGGACAAUGGGCGCAAGCCUGAUCCAGCAAUGCCGCGUGCAGGAAGAAGGCCUUCGGUUGUAAACUGCUUUGUACGGAACGAAACGGUCUAGGGUUAAUACCGUCGGGUCUAAGUGACGGUACCGUAAGAAUAAGACACCGGACUAACUACGUGCCAGCAGCCGUA